CGGCAACAGCUCAAAUUUGAAAUCUGGCCCCCCGGGUCCGAGUUGUAAUUUGUAGAGGAUGCUUCGGCGUCGGACCCGGUCCAAGUUCCUUGGAACAGGACGUCACAGAGGGUGAGAAUCCCGUACGUGGCCGGUGUCCUUCGCCAUGUGAGGCUCCUUCAAC
rnacentral:rRNA from 1 species